rnacentral:rRNA from 1 species
UUGACGGGGGCCCGCACAAGCGGUGGAGCAUGUGGUUUAAUUCGAUGCAACGCGAAGAACCUUACCUGGGCUUGACAUCCCGAGAAUCCCCUGGAAACAGGGGAGUGCCUUUCGGGGAACUCGGAGACAGGUGCUGCAUGGCUGUCGUCAGCUCGUGUCGUGAGAUGUUGGGUUAAGUCCCGCAACGAGCGCAACCCUUGUCUUUAAUUGCCAGCAUUCAGUUGGGCACUUUAAAGAGACUGCCGGUGUUAAGCCGGAGGAAGGUGGGAUGACGUCAAGUCCUCAUGGCCUUUAUGCCCAGGGCUACACACGUGCUACAAUGGGUGGUACAAAGAGAUGCCAACUCGCGAGAGCGCGCCAAUCUCAGAAAGCCAUCCUCAGUUCGGAUUGGAGUCUGCAACUCGACUCCAUGAAGUUGGGAUCGCUAGUAAUCGCGGAUCAGCACGCCGCGGUGAAUACGUUCCCGGGCCUU